rnacentral:lncRNA from 1 species
AGUCUCCCUGCAGCUUCAAGUGGCAUCAAAGAGGGUUCUUGCUCUGGGAAAAGCAGCAAGAGACAUCUCUGAAUCAGACUUGGUCCAAAACCAGGAGUCUGUAUUCUGUCCAAAACCAGAAAUCUGUGACUUCUCCUGAUCCCUCUGUAGCAGUCAUGUGACAAGAUCGGCCCACAGCCCUGAUUACAACUUCUGCCACCUAGAUCCUGAAUCCAUAGAUGCCAUCUCUGCUCCGAAGUCUGAUGACAAGAAUAAUGAUGAUGACUGAUGAUGACAAACUGUUCUAAAUGCCUUCUGUGUAUUAUCUCAUGCGAUCCUCAGAGCAACCCUUUGAAAGUAGAUACACUACUAUUCCAUUUCACAAAUGAGGAGGCUGAAGCCCGGAAAGACUUAGAAAAUUUCCAAGGCCUUAUCAAUAUUAUGUCUGAAGUAGCUUCAGACCACUUGUCUUCAUCACUCCCCAUUAAGCCUGCUGGGUUUUCCCUCUGAAGUUCUCCUAAAGAACAUAUCCACACUAAUUAUUCUGACAGUUUUGACAGGAAGACAGAGGAGGGCUUACACUAUGCACCAAUAGCAAACAACUAUUAAUAAAGUUUCAUAUUAAUUAUGUUCUCCAAAAUCCCUUCUUGACAAUCUUAUCCCUUCCAUGGCAUUUCUCUGUGUUGCCUCCAUCCAUAAACCUCAGCAGGUUGUCAGUUGUCAGCAACUUGAGAAUCCCCUGCAAACUUUUGGUUCUCUUUCCUCAAUUCUAUAGAACAUUCAGCUCUAUUCAGUCCUUGCUCCUUGGCUAGCCUACAAUACUACCCAGGUGUUCAGCUACAAACUGCCUUCCCCAGAAUGAAUACCACAUACUCAGAAGGUAAUCAUGGUAUAUGGUGCUGAGAUAUGGUGUUUCUAUUAGAAUUUGUUUCUAUGUGCUUACAAAGCCUUUAUAAUUAUAAUUUUAAUGGCUCACUAAAUUAUCUCCUGCUCAUGUUACAUAGUAAGCCAUUUUUAAUUGUUGAAUAUUUUGGUGGUUUUGUUUGUUUUAUUUAUAUAUCACAACAAACAUUUUUAUUCAUUUGGACUUUGUGUAUGUUGAAUUAUUGCUUUAAAAUAAAUUCCCAGAGGAGAGAGUACUCAGUCAAAGGAUAUGAAUAUGUUUAUGUUGCAUUAUUUUACAAAUCAGUUGUAUCAGCUAACAGAGUUGUGUAUAAGUUAAAAGCCAUACCAAAGCUUUGUCAACACUAUUUCUAUUUUCUUACUAUGUAGAAGCAUGAAAAUAUUCCCUCAUGUACAGAAGAUCCCUGACUUACAAUGGUUCAACUUAUGAUUUUUCAAUUUUGUCCUGGCUUUAUGGGGUAUUGAAUGCAUUUUUGACUCACAUAUUAUGUUUAUCAGGAAACCCAUCUGAAGUCAAGGAGCAUCCACGUUUGUUUCUAUUUGUGUUUUAUCUAAUGUGAGUGCUUUUUACAAACACUUUGAUCUUUACCUAUAUGGUGAAACAAUUUUUCUUUGUUGUUUUGUUUCUGCAUUUCAAUACUGUUUCACACAAAGACCACUUUUGGUCUGCUAUACUUGAUACAAGUAUUUUAACUUCAGUUUUACUGCUUUUUCAUUUUUCUACAAGUUUUAGAUUUCAAGUAUAUUUCAAAUAUACUUUGAAUUGGUCAGGCUAAACCUUUGCAAUUACUGUUUUUGCUUCAAAGGUGAGAAAUCCACCAUUUCCAAAGAUCAGAUAAUGAUUCUAUUUUCUCCUUUAAAACAUUGUUUUAUGUUUCCCACUUUCAUAGACAUGGCCUAUAUUUUGGAGUCUGGUAGUAAUAUUUGGUGUUGGGCAGGUUUUCAUGUUUCCAAAUUUUCAAUAAGACUGUUUUGUCAGGGCAGGGUUGGUAAAGGGAAGAGUGCAAACACUGUUUUCCCAGAGCCAAUGACCCAAGAAGGAAGGAGUGGUGAAGGCAGAGCACACGGGGGGUGCUGCAAGGGCGGGAGGCAGAGCAUCUACCUUACAGUCUGGUCUUUGGAUGUCCCUGUGCUGGAACUUUCAGUUAGGCAUGAGACCUUAGUUAUGACCUGUGAUAUGGGAACUAGAUUGAUGGGUUUAACUGCUUCAAGGUAGUUUAGAAAAGCCACUUGAAGACCUAUCUUUUACUUUAGCAUGAAUAUUUUUGACCAAAAUUUGCAAAGAAAGGGAAUUUUAUUUAAGCCAGGUAUAAUUGUACCUGGCUUAAAUUUAUAAUUUUAUUUACUUAUGCUCAAUGUGAGCAUAAUUGUAGGUUUAAAGAAGAAAAUGGAAUUUUAGUUUUUUUUCCUUUUAUUAAAUGAGGCCAUAUAAAA